GCGAUGGAGGUGGUCAGCAUUGACGGGUUGUGGUGUCUGAUCAAGGGAUAUAAUAUACCGUUGGAUAGCUAUUGAAAAUGUGCAGCAUUGUCAUGUUAAACACUUUUCGAGAUUCCUCCCGGUUUAAAAGGAGUUUCAAAAAUGGUGGUCAUGCGACGGGUGGCAGCGAGUGUAUAUUCGUCAUUUUUUUCUAAACCUCUCGUCAGAAUGAAGCAAAGGAUCCGAUUGUUGGAAAGAUAUCGUCGAAGUGCAACUUAUUCAUGUAGAUUACACUCUCUAAUUCCUUACGGUUUAAGAGCAG
rnacentral:lncRNA from 1 species